rnacentral:lncRNA from 1 species
CACACAGAGCAUGUUACCAACAGCUUUUUAUUUAACUUUCUCCCUGCCCAGAGCUUCUCUUCACUGACUGUCUGGGACAAGCCAGCGCCGUGGAGCUGUCUCUUUUUCAUUUCUCAGCCUCACUGGCCAUUCCAGUCCUCAAGAAAUAUUUGCUUGAUGUGACUUCUUGGAACCAAAUGUUGGUACCCAACUGAAAGGGAUGGAGCCCUCCGAACUUGGAAGUUCCGCUGAGGAUGAGGGCGGCCGCCAUUUUGAAACGAACAGACUCCAAAAGCACGCUCCACUGGGCCUGCCCCUGCGAUCUUAAAACAGAUGUCCGUGAAAUGUGACCCAUGAAUAGCAGUUAUCUGGAGAGAGAGCUCUGAAGCUGAUGAAACCAUUAGAGCCACUGAAGGCACCUGGUAAAUGCGAUGCGGGGAGUACAGAAGAGAGAAUCAGAAACACACCGGCACUCUCAUUCCCAUGAGGCCACUUACAGUGGGUAAAACGUCGCUUGAGAAGAGCGGCAGCUCCAGCCUGAAUGAGAAGCACGUCCUCCUGGGAGUUACGUCAGCAGCCUGACCUUCCAUCUUCCUCCUCUAAAGAAGCGUCCCUGCCACCCUGAGCACGAAGCCCUCGGGUUCCUAAAGGCCGAGGCGCUUCUUCUCAUUUACUUCCCUUGAGGAAGAAAGACCAGCCCAUCCACCCUCAUUUCCCACCGAAGGGCAUCGCAAAUAAAGUUUGCCCACGCAACCAGGCCACCACCAUUAAUUUCUCUCUGCCCUGCUCUUACAUUCUCCUCAAGGUUUUCAGUCCCCUAGAGAGGCUCCCUUCCCUCUUUUCUUUCCUUCCUCCAGCCCCCCUUUUCACCUCCCUCCACCAUUGUUUGAGGUUAAGAAGCAUGCUACGGUGUUCUAUAAAUCACUUGGCAAGAGUAGACGACAAAAGCAAAAUAUAAUUCAGAUUAAAGUCAUCCUCCCGCUGAAAUGAUAGUUUCUUAAAUAAAUGGCGAUGCUGCCUAUCAAUCUUGCUGGCAACUGGUCCUCUCAUAUUCAUCUUUCUGGGGGUGAUUUAGGAUCCACCUGGGUCCUCCGAGAAGAUUCUCCCAUCAUUUCCUUCCCGUCUCUCUGGAUCUUGCUGCUGGGCUUGGCGCAGUUGACAAAUUCUCCAAGUAAUCCCUCAAAAGAUUGGAGAAAUGCUCCGAACGCUCCAUUAAACUUAUUUUCCAUGCUUUAAGAGACCCAAAACUAUGUCCAAUAAAUAAGUGUUCCCUGUGAUUUACUGAAAUGCUCCUCUGAUUUAAAGUUAUAGAGGGAAAAAUAUGGCGCCCCUGGGAGGGAAGGACCAGCCUCACAAGUGAGACCAGAUGUGAGAUUUCUG